GCUGGUGGUUGCAAUGAAGACACACUGCAGUGCAGCUUGAAGUGUGCUUGCCUUGGCAACAGGAAGAAGGACAUUCGUGCUCCCCUCUUCUCACUCUCACCCAUCUCUGCUUUUGGUUUCCUCUUGACUGCGAUUUCACAUUUUGAAACAAAUGGACUCACCUCAGCCUGCUUAAGGGUAUUGAAUUUCCCUCUUGGGGAAUGUCAGGCCCUGAACCAAAGAUCAUAAAUGAUGGUUGGUUUCUAGUUUACAAAACACAUCCAACUGCACUGCAUGUGGACCUGGUCCCGUUCUGAUUCCUCUGGAUGUACAUCUCUCAGCUCCUUCUGCAGCACCAUGCCUGCCUGGAUGUUGCUGAGCUUCCAGUGAUGAUAAUGAACUGAACCUCUGACACUGCUGAUCUGAGGCCCCUGUUCACAAGGGAAGUCAUGAGGAACGUGUAUGCUGUUUUCAAAGCCUUCCCUACCUCCACCAUUCUCCUUCGACUCGACAGGAAUAAUGUGUUUAUGAUGAGAAACGACUGUCCUGCUUUCUAGAGCUUGACUCUGUUCCAGACCAUUGCUUUUUGUACACAAAGUGCCUCCCGCUAUCAGAGAGUGGAGAUAUUUGCUCUGGACUACUUUAUCAUCUUCAAACCGUCACUGGCAGAAAUGUGUGUGUGAGGUCAGCGCAUUCAUUCCACCAGCACCAGAAGCUAGCGCGUAUCUGCGGCUGUAAAUAAACAAGGGGCACGAUGUUAGAAAAAAAAAUGUUGGGGUUCUGACCUGCGCAAAGUCGACUGGAAUGUUUCCCUAGUAUUUAUCCUCUGCUUUUCCAAGCUUUGUAUAAACAUGAAUUUCCAGAAUUUUUUAAGAACUGACGCUGAUGAAAAAAAUUCAGUCUUCUAAUGAGUUUGUAAAACACAUCAGAUUUAAUUGUUGAAUACUAUAAAAACAACAACAACAACAAUAACAACAACAAUGUGAACAGAAAGAAAAGGUGCAUGUGCGUAUUGAAGCAGCUUCAAAAAGAACUUUUCAUUUUUUUUGUUAUUUUUCAUCAUCAAUACUAGAACAAAGACAUAUUUUAUAUGCAUAUUUAAAGAGUUGAAGUAGACGCUUACACUGCAAGAAGCUUAAAUUCCAGACUUACUCAAAAGAUGAGGAGUGUUGGAUGUAAGAUAUGAAUACCAAAGAUUCUGGAACAGUCCAAGGCCCUGCUGACAUUUUCUUGGUAAAGGAGGAAGAUUGACAGUGAGCAUAGCUCAGUUGUGAGUGUGUGACACUCAGUCACACAGGAUCAGCUGAGCAGAUACAUCAGGGAGGUGACAAGACUUGUAGGAUUGUCACCACAUUUUAGGCAUCCAUUACAUAUCUUGGAUAUUAACUCUUUCUUAGAUAUGAGGAUUGCAAAUAGCUUCUCCCUCCCCCUCGAGUUUCUUGCCAUUCUGUAGAUCAUUCUGGUUGCUAUGCAAAAAGUAUUUUUGCUGCUGUUAUUUUUUAUGAUACAACCCACUUACCUAUUUUGUUGCUUCCAUUACCCAUUCUUAUGAUAUUUUAUUAAAGAGACCAUCACCAAGACCACU
rnacentral:lncRNA from 1 species